GUGGAACCUGAACUUCUUAUCGGAAACCCACUGGAUAGUGUAACUUGAUCAUAGAAUUAGCAUGGCUGCAUAUGCAGUUCCACCUGUAGAGGAGUUGCUGUCAAAACGAGUUCAAGAAAUGGUCCUUCACGGGGAGGAGCCACUUGGACCUUAUAUUUGCAGAAGUGGUGAAGAUGUUGAUGAAAAACAAGACAUCAUGGAUACUUCUCCAAUUCCUACAAUUGAUCUAAACCUCCUGUCUUGUUCUGC
rnacentral:misc_RNA from 1 species